UACGGAAGGCAGCAGUGGGGAAUAUUGCACAAUGGGCGAAAGCCUGAUGCAGCUAUGCCGCGUGUAUGAAGAAGGCCUUAGGGUUGUAAAGUACUUUUAUCGGGGAGGAAAAAACAAAACUAAUAAUUUUAUUUCUUGACGUUACCCGAAAAAGAAGCACCGGCUAACUCCGUGCCAGCAGCCGCGGUAAUACGGAGGGUGCUAGCGUUAAUCAGAAUUACUGGGCGUAAAGAGCACGUAGGUGGUUUUUUUAAAGUCAGAUGUGAAAUCCCCUGGGCUUUAACCUAGGAACUGCAUUUUGAAACUGAAAUACUAGAGUAUCGUAGAGGGAGGUAGAAUUCUAGGUGUAGCGGUGAAAUGCGUAGAUAUCUGGAGGAAUACCUGUGGCGAAAGCGGCCUCCUAAACGAAUACUGACACUGAGGUGCGAAAGCGUGGGGAGCAAACAGGAUUAGAUACC
rnacentral:rRNA from 1 species